CACCACCCCCCAUAAUCCCACGCCCAAACAUAAUGCAACACGGUGACAUCGCGCUAUUGCGCCAUUUUGCGACUACUUGGCGGUCUUUUUUGGAUCGGCAGGCAUCAGUUUAUCAGGCGGCCUGCGGUGCACUUACAGCUCAAACUGUGAAGCCAUAUUGUUGUAAGGUUGAUGAAAAAUGAGGUCAUGGCCUGUUUCAGUAUGAAGUGGGGGAAGGGGAAGCUUGCUUUCACCAAGAUCAAUCUGUACACUGUUGUCACAGAGAGUGUCCAGAAAACAUCAAAAGAGACGGGGCAAAUACUGCAGCAGUCACUGCCUUUUGUUUAAA